rnacentral:rRNA from 1 species
UACAGAGGGGCAAGCGUUGUUCGGAAUUACUGGGCGUAAAGGGCGCGUAGGCGGCCUGUUAAGUCGAACGUGAAAUCCCCGGGCUCAACCCGGGAACUGCGUCCGAUACUGGCAGGCUUGAAAUCCGGGAGAGGGAUGCGGAAUUCCAGGUGUAGCGGUGAAAUGCGUAGAUAUCUGGAGGAACACCGGUGGCGAAGGCGGCAUCCGUGGACC